GGAGGAGCUCCUUAAAUUCCGGGUCAGCCCAGGAGCCGGGGUUCUCCAGCAAAGAACAAGAAGGCAAUUGUCUCCCAAAUGUCCAGCACUGCACUCACGUGCAUAACGCCGUCCGCAGACAGAAGGGGAGCAUCCCGUAAGCCCGUCAUGAUGACCACAUAAAGAUAAAGGUGCUGCUCAAAUCUGGUCCUGAUUUAACUGGAGGAACUGCCCCUGCCAGCAAGCCCUGAUUGCCCAGCCCAGCAACCUCUGCCUGUCUCCAGCCUCAAGCCCCUUUAGUGAUCUUCAGUAUCUCCAGCUUUGCAGUCAUCCUGUGUCCAUGGGAAAAGUGUAUCUUUGUGCUUUCUGUUGCUGUAAAAACACCAUGAGCAAAGGCAGCUCCGGAGUUAGGGUUUAUUUGGCUCACAUAUUGGGAUCAGAAUCCAUCAUUGAGGGGAUUCAGGGCAGGACCACCUUCCCAGGGGUGGCAAUGCCCAAGGUAUACCGGGCCCACCCACAGCAAUCAACAACCAAGACCACACCUACAGGACAGUCUGCACGGAGGCAUUUUCUCACCUGAGCGUCCUUCCUCCAGAUGACUCUAGUCUGUGUCAAAUUGACAAAAAUCUAACCAGGACAAGUGCUACACAUUCAACAAAACAUGGAAAUGCAGGGAAUCACACUUGGAAUGCACGGGAACCCACACCUGUCAUCACAGCACCUGGGACACACGGGCAGGCUGGGAUCCCAGGAAAGGGGCAGCAGAGACCAGAGAGGAAGGUAAAUGGAGCAUGAUGGCUGCCCGAAGAGCUGGUGCAACACAUGGAACAAUCUCACCUUCCUGCUGAUUCCCCCCCCCCCACCUUCCUGCUGAUUCCCUUACUGAUGAUGACGAUUCCUGCACACAGUGAAGUCCACUGGGCCUAUGUUCCUGACCCACCACUGAUACACUUCUUGGAUCUCCCUGGGCAAGGGAGUCAACUUAUAAUAAAACCAUGACUUUCAAUGCAUUUGGUGAUGGGAUUCCUGUUUGCUUUGUGAAGAACAGUACAAAUGAUGGGUGUAUUUCUGUGUUCAUUCAGAUGUGGAAGAAAAACAUUUCACAAACCGUAACUCAAAGCAUAGAGAUGGACACAGUUAAAUAUUAUGAGGGACCUGCCCCUGAUCCUCUUGAGAUAUGGCCUUGUGGGUCUGAACCCACAAAGAAGGUGGAACGGGCAUUUCACACAACUGUUAAAUGGAGAAAAUGUUAUAAUCAACCCCCAAUGUGGUUUAAUGUUUCCAAUAAUAUGUGAAUUAUUGAUUGGGCAGGGAAUCAAUCAAACACUGGGCAAAGGAGAUGUCCAUAGGCCUUUGGCAAUCAGAUGCCAUUUCUAACAUCAUAUUUGGAAGUUAGCUACCGCUCUCUAUGAAGUUACAUUGACAAUAGACAAAAUUGGGACAGGGUCUGGAUUUCAAACAAGUGUUAGUGCAUGUGUUAAAGCUCCUAAUCUUUUAUUAAUUGGUCAUGUUAAGAUUACUUUUGUUUCUUCUACAGUAUUUAAUAUAAGUUGAGUUGAUUGUAUACUUUCUAAUUGUGUUAGUGUGUUCAAAUCUGGCAUUUCUGUCAUGGUAGUCUAUCAACCAACUUUUGUUUUACUGUCUGUGAGUAUAACAGGACCUUGGCAUUCUGAAAAAAGCCUACAAAUCCUGGAAGAAGUGAGUGGAGUUUUAAUCAGAAGCAAGAGGGUAGUGGGCUUUAUCAUUGCUGGUAUAGAGGCUUUGAUUACAUUAACAGCCAAUACCACGGCUUCUGCAAUUGCUUUGACACAAGAAGUUAAGACAACCACUUUUGUUAAUCAUUUAGCAAAAAAAAAAAAAAAGUUUCUAAUGCUCUGAGUAUUCAAGAAGACUUAGAUAAGCGUUUGGAACAAUGGAUUGAUGCCCUUUAUGAUACUAUUCAAAUUAUUGGAGAGGAGGUUCAGAGUCUAAGAGUAGGAAGACAUCUCAAGUGUCAUGCUAAAUACCAAUGGAUUUGUGUUACAACUAAAAUUUACAAAGAUAGUCACUAUAAUUGGGAGAAAAUUCAAAGACAUUUGCAGGGUAUUUGGCGUAAUUCUAACACCUCUCUGGAUAUCUUAACUUUGUGCAACAAGAUUAUGAAUUUAAAGAAUACUGCAGAUACUGCUGAUAAAAUAAUUUGUGGCUUAAGGUUAGUAUUUCCAUCUUAAGUCAAGCUUCUUCAAGAGUGGCUUAUAUAGCUUGAUCAUGUUGGCCCUUCUUAUCCUGGGAAUACUUUUAUUCCUGUCCAUUUCAAUAAAACUUGCCUUUAACAACAUCAGCAUGUUGGUGGCCAAAAUACAUGGCUUGAAACUAAAAAUGAAUCCCCAGACAGAGCCAUUAAUUUAACAACCUAGCAGUCAACUGAUGGAUGAGAUUCCACACAGAGUCUUAACUAAGACAGAAACUCAUUGCUUUUGAGAAUACAUAUUCCGUGAUGGGUAAGGAAGGUGUUCUUGUCUCAACAACCUAAGACAGAGGAACUCUUGUUUAUGAAAUAAAACAGGGGAGGUGUGGAGAGCUCUUUGGGUUGAUUUAGGAAUUUGGCAGGAAUUUGGCAUUGGGCUAGGACAAGGAAGUAGACUCCAGGUGAAUACAGCUGAGGUUUGUGUACUUUGUAUCUUGAUGGGUCUUGUUGGACCCUGAAUACAGUAAUCAUGGGACAUUUCUCUAUGCUUUGUUGUUCAACUACUCUGCAUAUGCCUCAGGACUGACCGCAUUCUCAGCAUGUGCCUAGAGCUAUAGAAAAACAGACUGGAAAAAAAUUAAACCCAGUUCAGCUUCAGAACUGGUUGGAAUCAUGUUACUGUAUUGUCUAAUUGUCUUUUUCUUUUCAAUUCUCACUCCCUCCCUCAAGACCUCUUUGACUGACUGAGCUGGCUUGCUCAUAUACAUAUACACACAGUUACAGUUAGCAGGUGGAAGGAAUGAUGCUGCAACAACGCUAUUUUUUCUCCCAUAGUUUAUAUCCCAGCAAAAUCUUUCAAGCAGUAUAAAAUUAUGAUGGUGAUUGGGUUUUAGUUCUAGUGAAUGGUUAUGAAAAAAGCAGUAUGUUUCCCAAUACCUUUGCAAGAAACAACAUUUUGUAGCACAGGUAAAGAAAACAAAUUAUUCCCAAGAACCUACGUACAUUUGUAACUAAGCAACUUGUUAUAGUUUAACAAAGUGUAAGCAAGCAGUGUGGUUUACUCAGCCAGUUUCUCUUACUGGGAGGCAGUAAUUUUCGGUUACCAAGAAAGGAUUUUUUUAUUAUUUAUCCUUUUAAAAAUCAGUCAUAGAACCGGGCAGUGGUGGCACACACCUUUAAUCCCAGCACUUGGAAGGCAGAAGCAGGCGGAUUUCUGAGUUCAAGGCCAGCCUGGUCUACAGAGUGAGUUCCAGGACAGCCAGGGCUACACAGAGAAACCCUGUCUCAGAAAACCAAACGAACAAACAAACAAAAAACAAAAAAAAACCAACCUUCAGUCAUAUCUACCUUAUAUCCCCAGAGUCAAUCAUCACUAGUCAGCCUCAGUGAGAGUCACGUCAAUCAGUGCUGCCUUUGUUCUUGUUCCCUGACCAUAAAAAGUCCCUAGCUUAACUAAUAAGAUGUGCCUUUUUGAACUUCAGAUUGUUCCCUAAGAUUUUUCUACAUCAGAGCCAAUUACAAAAACAUCUUAACUUCGCUUCACUAACAAUUUUAUUUUUCAAAAAAAUUUUUUUUCUAAAGGUCAUGGUCAUUGCUGGCAAUCUACAUCCUAAAUUCUCUCCUCGGGUGGCGAUUGAAUCAUUAAUCUGCUCCAGCAGCAAUGCCUGAAAGACAUCAAGCAUUAGUACUGUGAGUGCCAGAGACACAGCCCAGUGAGGGACUGGGAGCUCCUUGGAGUUUUCACACAAUUCUUAGAUUAGGAGGGAUGUGAGGGCAGCAAGCAGAGCAGAACUCCACGACAGCAUGAUGUCCUCAGGACACAUGGUCCUCUGGGCCCUCAGGGUUGUUCCUCUCCAAGGAGCACCCACCAAGGCUGUGCUAACUGGCUGGGUUGCAUUCCAUAAAGCCAUCUGUUGCCUCUCCCUCAAGGCCCUCAGCAGGAGGUUUCAGGAAAGAGCAGUCAAGGCGGCAUGGGGCUGUGUGUUUGAGAAGACUGCAUGACAAGGAGAUGGAGUGUGGAGAAGGGCACUUGUCUUCUAGUAUACAAGAUAACGGAUUUCUUCCUGGCACCGGAGCUCCACCCUAAA